UGCAUAUCAAUAAGCGGAGGAAAAGAAACCAACAGGGAUUGCCCCAGUAACGGCGAGUGAAGCGGCAACAGCUCAAAUUUGAAAUCUGGCCCUUGGGUCCGAGUUGUAAUUUGUAGAGGAUGCUUUUGGCGAGGUGCCUUCCGAGUUCCCUGGAACGGGACGCCAUAGAGGGUGAGAGCCCCGUCUGGUCGGACACCGAGCCUCUGUAAAGCUCCUUCGACGAGUCGAGUAGUUUGGGAAUGCUGCUCAAAAUGGGAGGUAUAUGUCUUCUAAAGCUAAAUAUUGGCCAGAGACCGAUAGCGCACAAGUAGAGUGAUCGAAAGAUGAAAAGCACUUUGAAAAGAGGGUUAAAAAGUACGUGAAAUUGUUGAAAGGGAAGCGCCUAUGACCAGACUUGGGCCCGGUGAAUCAUCCAGCGUUCUCGCUGGUGCACUUUGCCGGGCACAGGCCAGCAUCAGUUUGGCGCGGGGGAAAAAGGCUUUGGGAAUGUGGCUCCCUCGGGAGUGUUAUAGCCCAUUGUGUAAUACCCUGCGCCGGACUGAGGUACGCGCAUUGCAAGGAUGCUGGCGUAAUGGUCAUCAGCGACCCGUCUUGAAACACGGACC
rnacentral:rRNA from 4 species